rnacentral:lncRNA from 13 species
AUGUACGUAAUGUAAUUAUGACAGCGAUACUCGUCCAAUACCUGUAUAAAGAUGCAUUUGGCAAGUUAUUUAAUAAUAUUAAAUCAGCUCUUCCUGGCAGAAUUGCAAAAGUGACACGGAAUAGUACACCAUAUAAUCGGACGGGUACAAAAUACAAAUUGCAAAGAAAUGAACUAUUUCGCUCCAUGGAAGAAUUCCCCAGAAGCAUUGCGUUAACAUUCUAUUGAAUAUCAUCCACCAGUCGAUAUCGAAGACAUCCUUUUUGUGUAAAAAUCGGGACGUUACAACAUACUUUACAGUAUAUUUAGGUAACUAAAUUCUUUAAAUGAUAAAAUUUAAUCACCUUUAAUCCAUAUUUGAUGUUUGGAAGCUCGAUGUUGACCAUGGUUUCUAAAACUUGCAUAAAAGUGAACUGCGAACUGGUGCCUUCGUUAUUUUUUUCAUCGAUAACUUUGCCCAAUUUCGGCCAAAGAAGCAGUGUCGAUGGAAAUUGAACUAAUUGCAUGAUAAAAGUCUUGCAUCUAUAAUCAGUUAUUUAACAUAUAAUAAUUAGCAUAUUAUUCAAUAAUAUACUGUAAGAAUAUACAGUCGUAAAGUUGAUUAGAUAUUGAUAGGCGAUCGGAAUGAUUCUGAGAGAAGUAGAGUCAUGGGGCACGAUUCUUAGCUCUUGAGCGCAAGGAGUGAGAACGAAGGAUCCCGACGUUAAAUUUUAAUUGACUUAAAUUAAUUUUUAAUUUAAGUUAAUUUUUUUGUUGCUUUUACACAAUUAAACAUACUAAUAUUAAAUAUAUACUAAUGUAAAAUAUUAAGGAUUGUAAGGCCGUUAGGAAUUGAUAGGCAAGUAGAAUGGUUCAAAGAGCGAUUUGGAGCGUUUUGGAGUAAUAAUGAGAGUGCUAGUUGUCAAAAUAAAGGAUUCCGAGUUCAAAUCCUGAUCAGCUCUUAAUUUUUCCGUCACUUACAUUAAUGUAAUAGCAUAUCAUAUAUCUGGUCAAUGAUGAGAAAGAAAUAUCGAGACAGGUUGAUGAUAAAAAAAAAACGUUGACCUGGUGAGAACUAAGUUUUCAAUCUGAGACCUGCCAAUGAUGAUAUUUGACUAGCUUGAGUUAAUCACUAUUGAUAACCGUUUAAACUGCUUGUUUAAUCUGUUUUAUUUCUUUGUGGUUUAAAUACCGCGAAUGAGAUAAUGGACAUAUUCAAGCUAACAAAGCAGCUAGUCUGCUCAAGGAGUAAGCUAGCAGUUUUGACUGGCUAGAAUAUGGCUACUGAUAAACAAGUUUAUUAUCUGCCACUAAUAUGUGACCAUAUCGGAAAUUAAAUUGGCUGUCAAGAUUAAUUCGCAGUCAACUGAGGCUCUUAUUUUGUGCUAAAUUAUUUACUUUUUACACUAAUGAAUGAAUUAUUUGAAAUUAAAUAUGUCAAGUUACAUACUUAUCCAAAUUUCCAUCACAGAUAAUGAACACCGUUGCCAAGAACCAAUCAAAACCUUCAAACCUGCUCGGUUUAUUGUACUGUAUAAAUAUGUAGGCAGAAUGAAUGAAUUGUUUCAAACUCUUUUGGCUGUCGCUAGUAUUUUUUAAAAUCUCUCGUUGUUCGGCGUAAUUUAAAACAAUGUUAAUAGCGUGUAUGUCUUCUGGUAGCCAAUAGUCCGUGUCAUACGUUAUGUUCUCCUGCCAUUUAAAUUGCUCCACCCAUUCCGCAGUUGGAAUAGCUUUGUGCAUUUGAUUCAAUAAAUUUGUCAUCAUUGAAUUCUAAGAUAAAAA